CAGUAGCCGCGGGAAUACGUAGGGUGCGAGCGUUAAUCGGAAUUACUGGGCGUAAAGCGUGCGCAGGCGGUUGUGUAAGACAGGUGUGAAAUCCCCGGGCUUAACCUGGGAACUGCGCUUGUGACUGCACAGCUAGAGUAUGGCAGAGGGGGGUGGAAUUCCACGUGUAGCAGUGAAAUGCGUAGAGAUGUGGAGGAACACCGAUGGCGAAGGCAGCCCCCUGGGCCAAUACUGACGCUCAUGCACGAAAGCGUGGGGAGCAAACAGGAUUAGAUACCCCGGUAGUCCCUGUCUCUUAUAC
rnacentral:rRNA from 1 species